UUGCCAGGUCUGAAGCCACACUGAUAAGGUCCAAUCAGAUUGUUGACGGUGGGCUUUAAUCUUUCACACAAUACGCUCGAUAGAACCUUACAUGCGAUGUUGAGGAGGCUAAUCCCACGGUAGUUGGCGCAGAUUGUGGGAUCUCCUUUUUUAUGGAUUGGGCAUAGCACACUUAAAUUCCAAUCGUUGGGCAUGCUUUCGUCCGACCAUAUUUUACAAAGAAGCUGAUGCAUGCUCCUUAUCAGUUCUUCGCCGCCGUGCUUGAAUAGCUCGGCCGGCAAUCAAUCGGCCCCCGCCGCUUUGUUCUUCUUCAGGCGGUAUGCUUACGAUCCGGAAAUAGACGAUCAGUCGCCCAAAUAUCGUGACAAAGGUGAGCCUAAGCCGAAAAAAUCACGUAAGCAGGUCAAAAAUCAAGGUUUUCUUCGAUUAUCGAGAUUAUCGAGGUGUGGUGAACUCCGAAUUCAUUCCGAUCGGCCGAACUAUCAACAAGGAAUACAAUGUGACUAUUAUGCGUCGUUUGCGCGAAGCUAUUCGUAAAAGGAGGCCGGAAUUAUCGGCAGACUCUUAGUUUUACACCACGAUAAUGCACCGUUUCAUACUGCAUUGAUUCUUUGUGAAAUCUUCAAUCAAUGUCGUGCCGCAACCACCUUAUUCGCCUGAUUUAGCUCUGUAUAACUUCUGGCUAUUCAGUAAACUCAAACGACCGCUCCGGGAAAACCCUUUUGAGUCAAUUGAAGACAUUAAACGUGAAUCGCUCCGUGCAUUGAAGGCAAUUCCGAAAAUUGUCUUUAACUGUUUCGUGGAUUGGAAAAAUCGUUGGCAUAAGUGUAUUGGGGUCAAGUGAAAUUACUUGAGAGGCACGACAUAUAUUUUAAGAAUAAAUAAAGCAGCUUAAUAUUAUGAACAAAGUCUUACUAUUUUUUGCUCAUAGUUGUAUAUCUAAUACCCAGUUCAGAGCAUAAAUAUAAUAUUGGGUCGACAGACAAUGUACGUUAACUGAAAUGACACCACAUUUAUAACCGGAGAAUUAUCGACUAGUCAAGAAUUUUUAAAGUAAUUUGAGGAAAUUUAUUUGCCGAAAAACAACAAAAAUUUGGACAUAUUCAUAAAGUAGACUUAAAGCAAACCUUCAUUACAGUUCCAAAUAUUUCUAAUUUCCGGAUAUUAAAAAUAUUGCCAAGACUCUACACUUUCCGGAUUCCUGAUCUUAUUACAUAUUUCAGAUGGUAUGGAAUCAUCUUUUUGACAAGAAUCGAAAGUCGGAGGUGAAACUUCCGAUAUUGCUGCGGCUCAUAGUCAUAAAAACUUCAAAAGAAGCAGUUAUUGUGCAACAAUUCCUAAGUAACCCGAUUCCUCGUAAAUUAGGCUUAAAGCAAGCAUUCAUUGCAGUUCCUUACAACAGCCAGGUUUCUAAUAUUUCUAAUUCCCGCAUACUACAACCUUGCAAAGGCUCUACACUUUCAGGAUUCCUGGUCAUAUGGCAUAUUUCAGAGGAAGAAGUUAUGAAAUCGAAAGAAGCAAUUACUAUGAGAUGAAGAUUUAUCAAUGGCUCUUAUCUAAUUUUUAGAGUCUAACAUUAAAUCACAGCUUUCUUAACCUCGAUAGCUUGGCAAAAAGUUUGUGAAGCAAUGGCACUGCUAUCGGAAUAACGUGCGGAUGUGACACAAUAUUCUCUACCGAGGUUUGAACGUUUUUAUAGCGAAGUUUUCGUGUCAGCAAACCGGAAAUGUGAAUUUUUAAUUUUCAAACUUUAACGCUUAGCUACAUCCUAAAACGUUUUUGUUAAUGAAUUUCUUUAAUUUUCAAUACCCGUUUUGAAUCAUUACGACAUCGGUGUAGAAUAUUGAAAUCAAAUAAGUAUUCGAAAAGCCAUCCUAAUGUACGAAGUAAUCAGAUUGGCUGAAUUGUCAUAGAACGUAAGUCGUGAAUACUCUUAAAGAAUGUCUUUUCGAUAACAAAGCUAACCUCCCCAACUGUCUCUUACAUUUUUUCCGUUAUCCAACGAGUAUACAAUCUUGCCAAUCUUAAUUAUUUGUCACACAGUGUUGUUGUUAAAAGCAAACAGCAAUUGUUGAAUGGGUAAUAAAAAACCUACGAGAAGUUAAAUAUAUAAUAUAUUAAAGCAAAUAAUUUUUAUGUAAAUAAAUUGUUGAACAAGAAAUGAAUAGUUAAAAGAUAGCAAAAACAAAACUACAGGCAAUCAAAAUAAGGAUAAAUUAAUGAAUUAUUAUUAUUGAAUUUGUUUCGGGAAUAUAAAAGAAAACAAAUAUAAAUAGCUUUGUGAUUAUUAAGUCCGAAAAAAAUAAAUUGUAUAACCGUUAAAGGGUGGAAACGGCGAAAAAGAAAGCAAAAAAGCAAAUACCAUAAGUAUUAUAAAAAAAUGCAAAUUUAUUGUUUAUCUAUUAUGCUAUGACUGAGAUUGAUAUUAGCCACUUUAAGGGUUAUAUCCACUGGAAGGUCAGAAAAAAUUUACAGAAUUCAAUAUACUUUAUUUAUAAUUGGUGAUUUGUUUGAAAAAUGUCGAAUCCGCUUGAUCUCGUAGCGCAUCUUCAAGAGGUUAAAAUUGUGUCAAAUCCAAAAAAUGUAUCAACUAUAAGUGAAUACUGGAAACAAAAGAGUGCUAGUCAAAAUUUUGAUUUUUAUCAAAAUGAAAAAAUGUGCACCUCAGGAUGGCUUAGAAAUACGCUCAUGUCUUCGAAAUUAUUUGCAGGAUCAACUUCAAAUCUUCGAAAAAUAUUCUCAAAUAAAAAAUCGAGGUUUUAAAAUUCACAAGCUGAUAUAACCGCUUAACAAAUUUGUCGAUCCAUUUACGGGACUUUUGGAUAUCGUGCGCUACCAGUGGUUCACGAGCGGUUAUAACCGCUUAACAAAUUUGUCGUAAGCUUAAAACGCUACGUCGAUCUAUGAAGAUCUGGUUAUCAAUUUUUAGGAUUUUUGAAUAUCGCGUACUACCUUUGGUAUGAGUGUAAACCCUACAACAUAAGCUAAUUUUAUCUAAAGUUGAAAUUGAAAAACAUACAGACAGACAUUAUAUAAUUGCGAAAAACAUUCUAAACUUUCAAGUAUUAUAACUGCUUAAGCGGGGUUAGUUGCACAAACAAACAAAAACAGAAAGUGAAGAACGAAAUAAUAGCUUUUCUAUCGAUAUAUCCAAAACUCCAUUAAAAUUUUUAUAAAAAAAAAACAUUUUAGAGAAAAAGGAACUAGCUUUUUGCGCUAAUGUUGAUAGUGAUUAGAUCGAAAAGCUUCUCUUCAAAGGGAGCCAAUCAGCAUUGUAGGGGGCAUCUACCUUUAAUAAUCCAUCUUCAGAAACUUGGUAAAAUAGAAUCGGCAUAUUGCAGAGUAUGCGUGGAGUAUAUAUGGAUAUGGAGACAAUAGAAUAUUAGCUCUGUGAAUGUCAAGCCUUCUGUCUAUGAAAAAAUCAGACAAGUCACUUGUUGGACACGACUUCAUUGGUUACAAUUUAGGAGCGUGAUGAGCUUCAUUAUGGCUUAGGAUCAGCCACCUGACGGUCAGGCACUGCUUUCCCUCUACUUUCCAACCACCAGUACGAACUAUUAUGAGCUGAAAAAGGACGCUUCACUGGAGACCAUUAUUCUUGAAUUUGUUUCGACUAAACUCGACUUAUGUCAUCUAAAACCAAUCGUAGAAUCUAGAUAUACGGUUGAAGUUAUACACCGUUUAUGGGAAUGGGAAAAAUUAACAACUUCGAUAUUUCGCCUUUUUCUGUGAGCAGAAAAAAACUAGAAACUUAAGUAAAAGCCUAAAUGAGAAACUAAAAAGUAUCAGACCAGCGCUAUAUUUUAUAAGAAUUUUAGACAUAAUACCUAAUUCUUUCUAGACAGGCAUAGUGUUAGAAGAGUUUUGCGCUUAAAUUUAUUCAAAUAAUUUUAGAUUAAAAUUUAUUUAUUAUUUUAUGAUAUGCACUUAAUAAUAGAUAAGCAAUUAAUUUGCAUAAGAAAUAUACAAAAAUUCUAAAAUAACUGUAAAACAUGUGCAUUCUUCAAAUAUACAAUUUCACAGAUAUACAUACAUACAUAGUUGAAAGGCAUGCCACAAAUUAGCAAACACUUGAAAUAAACUUACUUCUUAAAUACUUCGCAAAUACUCUUACUUACAUAAAUACAUAUAUACAUACAUAUAUACGUACAUACAUACAAAAAACCAUUGCAUUUGCGCCUCUUAACGAAAAAUUUUGUUCUGAAAUUGUGAUAAGCAAAACCGAAAGGACGAAAUCCUUUGCAAUAUUUAUUUGCGAACUUGAAAUAAACUGUUAUACAAGUAUAACAUAAUAAUGUUUAAAAAACUAAGGCAAUUCAGUUCUAUUUCAUUUUAAAAUUAAGCUAUAGCUUAAAAAAACAGAAAUUUAUUUAAGAGAAGAAUUUUUUGUAGAAAUACGUUAGAUGUGCUCGCAAGCUCCACAUAAUAUAAUUUCAUACAUUUUUUAUGUAAUUUAUUUUUCGAACGAAUCUCAUCUAAAAUGGACAAUAAAAGACAUUUCCAGAGCCACCAACAGUAAAAUAAAUAAUUGAAAACUUUAAAAUUAUAAAUAUCUGCGCCAAAAACCACCAUUAAAACAAUAUUCAAAAAACGUCUUCACCAAAUGUACAGUGGCACAAAGUUAGCAAAUAAUGAGCGAAAACAGAAAUUGCACUUCGAAAACGAGCAUGCACGAAACGAAACGCGAAAAUACAAUAGUAGAAGCCGUAAGCGGAUAUACAUAAAUACUGUGCUACAUGAAAUGCUAGGCAGUAGACUCUUCAAUCAAAAUUAAGUCCGAAAAGUUGUCUUCUUCACUCAAGUUCACUUCCAAUUGAGCGUUUAACAUUAUAUACAAGCACACGUUCAUUUCUAAGAAACCGUUAACAAUAGUGAAAUGCAUAUAUACUAUUAAUGUUUGUACUAGAUUUUUAUGAAAUGUUAACGUAUGAAAAUAAUUAUAAUUGCAAUAGUUGAAAUAAAGUUUAUAUUAGCGUUGUUUAGUUUUUAAAACAAACAUUUUCAUAUUUACAUUUGAUGAGUAUAAUGUAUGGUAUUAUAUGAGAAAUUGUUGAUUAAAUUGAAAUACAUAUAUACACAUACAUACAUACAGAAAUACAUAAAUAAAUACGAGCAGAUAAAUUAAAAUUUA